rnacentral:misc_RNA from 1 species
GUAUAAAGUGCUCCCCUGACAUGUGCAAUUAGCUUCCAUAUAUGAUUGCAACAAAAUCUCAUAUAAUCAAAUUUGAUAUUCUGUAAAGGUGAGAUGUAAAAAAAUUGUCUACGAAUCAUACUACCGUUCAAAGCAAUCUAAAUAUAUAUCGUAGAAAUAUUAUUUUCUUCUAAAAAAAAAUUUAAGGUUUAUAAUAAAAAUACGUUUAAAAGGAAAAUGAAAAAAGAGAUAGAUUUGCUAGUCAGGAAA